GCCGUGCCUGCUGUGGCCGUCCGAUUUCGACCAUUAAAUUGCAAUUUAAAGAGGUGUUUCCAGGGACCAGAUGGAGAUGUUUUGAUAUCUGCUGUUUAGAAUGUUUUGAACGUUGAGGGGUGUCAGAUACACAUCGCUUCUUCUUGUGAGCCAUGGACAGCUGCCUGCUCGCAUGAGAAACAAGACGGUGAUUAAUUUAACUUCAAUGUGAUGACUGAAUGUGGAGACAAUGAUCCCUUUCAUCUAAUCUAGUUUGCAGGCUAUUUUCUCAAACUUUUUCCUCAAUCUGAGCGAAACCAACACACUCAGAAUCAUUCAAACCAAGCCUUUAAAUCACUUGCGCACGUAUUAGUCUCUCUGCAGCAAACCCUACUCUUGAUUUCAGACACAUGAUUCUGCUUGUAGUUCAGAAACAUCAAAUUGGCAGUAGGCACCAGAGUGCUGCACAGAGAUUUAGGGUGGGUUACAAACCUCUUUGUAAGAUAAAAGUUCAAGUACACUGGCUGGAAAAUCCGCUAGCUCUUGUAUAUCAGGGUUGUCAGAACUCCA